GACGAACGCUGGCGGCGUGCUUAACACAUGCAAGUCGAACGGAAAGGCCCUGCUUUUGUGGGGUGCUCGAGUGGCGAACGGGUGAGUAACACGUGAGUAACCUGCCCUUGACUUUGGGAUAACUUCAGGAAACUGGGGCUAAUACCGGAUAGGAGCUCCUGCUGCAUGGUGGGGGUUGGAAAGUUUCGGCGGUUGGGGAUGGACUCGCGGCUUAUCAGCUUGUUGGUGGGGUAGUGGCUUACCAAGGCUUUGACGGGUAGCCGGCCUGAGAGGGUGACCGGCCACAUUGGGACUGAGAUACGGCCCAGAAGCCUACGGGAGGCAGCAGUGGGGAAUAGUGCACAAUGGGCGGAAGCCUGAUGCAGCAACGCCGCGUGCGGGAUGACGGCCUUCGGGUUGUAAACCGCUUUCGCCUGUGACGAAGCGUGAGUGACGGUAAUGGGUAAAGAAGCACCGGCUAACUACGUG
rnacentral:rRNA from 1 species